CUUGGUUCAGGGCCAACAAUACCAGCUGUAGUGCUGAAACAAGCACGAUUCCAUCAUUUGUUACCGGUUCCUUUUGCUCGAUAGCAGGCUCUUUUUGUUGGAUGUGGUAUAAUUAUAUGCCGACAGAUAUUGACAGGUGUAUAAUGUAGUAUAUAUUCCUAAUUCCUCCAAUGUCUUAAUAGCAUGAAGAAUGUAGCACUUCAGGUCCUCAUCAAGUAAGGUUUCCAUUUAAGCAUGGUGUCCAUGCAUGCUAUUGUUAACUUUGCUGACAAUGGCAGCUUAGUGAUCACCGUGUUUGUUAAAUUUAAUUUUCACCUCCGUGUAAUGUAUCAUAGUACUAUGCACAAAGAUACUUCAACACUAAAGCUCGCACCUAACUUGCUCGGGUCUCGGCUCAUGAUUCUUUCAACUUUCAUGUAGUGCUGCUGAAAUAUUAUGUAACACUCAAAUUUGAUGAUAUUUUUAAUGGGCACAACUGUGCCGGUAGAGGUUGACAGUUAAUGAAUUUUGUGAUAAUCUUCGGUUAUACUGUUAUAUAUAGCACUUUGCUGGUUAUAUGGUUCACAUUCUCUGAGCCAAUUCACAAUGACCAUUCCUGAUUUGGGCAUUAUGUUUUUAAAUCAUUUUGUAACAUUUUGGUUGAUUUUUUAUGCUGCUCCUUAAUUUUUUUCAUUGACUGGUGUUGAACUAAAUGAGUGUUGCCAUUCACAGGAUGCCCAGUACAACCGAAGAUGGGUUCCCGAUUGUUCCUAGAUAUUUCAGAGCAACUAGAGUGGUCUUACCUGACAAGCUCCAAUGUUGUGCUGAAGUAUUUUGAACAAGCUUGUCCUUUGCCUUAUGCUGGAACAAGGCACCUUCUAUUCCCCAUGGGCACCAAGAAUGCGAAAACAUUGAUGAUUCGAGCAAAUGUAAGUUCAGGCUUCAAGAUUGAGCCGAGCGCCCUACCAGCAGAUCUGGAUAAUGCAUACAAGAAUGAGAAAGCAUAUCAGCGAUUGGAUAUUUCUGGCCCUACAGUUAACCCUUUUGUUUUUUCCUGUACGGCGAGGGCGAGAUAAAAGAUAUGUUUUCUGUUUGUGCUGAGCAUGGAGCUUGGGUAGUGAUAGACACCUUCUCUGGUCUGGAGUUCCACAACAGAGAUGGCUGGAUUUUGCGGAACGGGAGGAUAUUUUCACAAGCCCAAACCGACCACAUAGCACUUUGAAAUGCACUUAUAGGAAGUUGUUGGUUUUGAAAAACAAGAGGGAUCAACAUUUCUCUAAUCUCAUCACGCCAACAAACUGACGAAGACACUCGAGAGCUGUGGUUGGGAUGUCGCCACGUACCACUGUGGGAUGUCGCCAGGUACCACUGUGACACGCGUACAUCGGCAAAUCGUUCAGGGUGGAUGAUUUUGAAGGCGAGCUCGACGGCUGCAAUAUCAGGGAAGCCCUACUGAACUACUGCAGGUUCAGCUUACCAUGUAGUAUUUUCUUUACAACAAGGCCUCACACGAGCAAAACUGUCAUCUUGUUGUUUAGUUUUGGCCCGGGACUGCAAUUUUUUCCCUUAUUGCAUUCUUUAGUGCAUAAAAUAAAAUAUAUAAUGUGCAUAAAAGCCGAAAACAACCAUUACGAUCAUAGUAGGCGAACUGAAAUUGUAGGGAUAUAAAGCAGUACCUGAACAUACAAAAGCUGGCCACAACUCUGUCUUCAAUUCCAUCUUGUUUCCAGAUUUCAGGAGUAGAUCAUCACCACCAUUACAGAUCAGGCUCUUUGUCAGUGCAAAUAACAGACUAACACCACAAGGACUUCAUUAACCUUAGCCACUUCUUAUGGGUACAUGAGAACUAAAAAAAUUCAUCUGUUAAAAUU